GCAAGUCGAACGAGAAAAUUCCCUUCGGGGAGUGAGUAAAGUGGCGCACGGGUUAGUAACACGUGGAUAAUCUACCUUCAGGCGAGGGAUAACGGAUCGAAAGACCUGCUAAUACCUCAUAAGACCACAGAGUCUUCGGACUCAGGGGUAAAAGGCUUCGGCCACCAGAAGAUGAGUCCGCGUACCAUUAGCUUGUUGGUGAGGUAACGGCUCACCAAGGCAAAGAUGGUUAGCUGGUCUGAGAGGACGAUC
rnacentral:rRNA from 1 species